UCAAUUCUUGGCUAUGUUCAGUCAUGGCAUUGAGAAGAUACCUGACCCGUAUCUUGGCAUGGCAAGACGACCUAGUAUGUCUGUUGUAUAGCAAGCUGGUGCCUGCAGCCAUGGCAACAUCGCCUUCUCUCUUGCUUUGAUCAAAACAGUAAAUCUGAGCCCUCAAUGGCCAAACAGAGAAAGUCAUAGAAUGAGAUAUCAGUGAGAAAUAUGAUUAUUUAUUUAUUUAUU
rnacentral:lncRNA from 1 species